AGGCAACCUCCUUGUGACAACAAUGAUGGUGUUAACCUGCUCAUAAAUUAAUGCAUCUUUUGCUCUUCAGAUUUGUUGAGCAAAAGAAUGCACAGUAAGCUCUUGUUGUGUGCUCGAGCUGCUU